UUGUCAUGAUACAUGAGAUGUAUGAAUGAAGUUUAGAUCAUACCUAUGUAUAUUUAAUUGUUAAAUAUAUUUUAAAAAUUUAUUUUCAUAUGUUGAAACAUAUGGUAUGCUUCACUUGAAAUCCUUGUAGAAUAGUUCUACAAACUGAAACACACGUUUUACAUAUUUAAUUUUGAAUUAAAUUUGAAUGAUCUAGAAUUGAGAAUUGAAGAUCAUUAAGACACCGCAUAAUAUGAUGAGCA
rnacentral:lncRNA from 1 species